UUUCAGGAUCCAGCUAUUGUCGUCUUCAAUAAACCCCCUGGAUUGCCUGUUCAGGGUGGUAUUGGAAUCAAAAGGAGUUUAGAUGAACUGGCUGCCACUUGUUUAAGUUACAGCUUUUCAGAACCCCCUCGUCUGCUCAAAGAGAGAAGAUAAGUGAAGCUAAUCAAGGUAUGCUUGCUCAAUUUCUCUGGUCAAAUUUUUGGGGAUUCGUUUGGAGGUGAUUCCAAAUGCUCAGUUUGAGACUUAUUCGUCAACGUUGCCAUCUCAAUUGGUGAAAUUAAUAGAGGGCUGGAGCUUAUUCAGGAUGUUAUUGCUUGUGGAGGAAAUCUGAAGCAAUUUCUUGUGGUUGCUGCAAGCUUGUGGGCUGAUUAACUCUGAUUAAUUAAACAUUCAUACUUGGAAGACCACGGACCAAAAUCUUACUUCUUUUGCUUUCUUAUGUCGGCAACUCUUCAAAAUUUCUUGCAACAAAAUUGGUUCAGAACUUGUUGCAUCCUCUUGGAAUAAAUUUAAAUUGGCUUUUCAAUAUAUGCCUUGGAUGAUGCUGCACUUCAACACACCCUUUGUCAGAUGGCUCCAAACAAGGACAGCAGCUGCAGUGUCAGAAAAUGCCAUAGUUCCGAGUUUUAAAUCGAGGGUUUAAAGCAGAACAGCAGCUACAGUCAUGUUUAUGCCUUCUUUCAUUGCUUGGAUUAUAUAUAAUUGAAAUGAUGAAUAACUGAAUCAAUGUAUCCAAAGAUUGAUUGGAAUACUAUUGCAGUUGAGAUUAUUGAUUUGCUGGGUAUUUGAAAACAGAGAGAUAAAGUCAUUUAUAUGAGAUAUUGAAAGCUUGGAUGAAGUGAAGAAGAGGUUCAAGGAAGAGUAGCUGUUCAGCCUUUAUUGAUAUUGUUCUCAAUGUUGUUCUUGUGUUUUAAUGUAUGAAUGAUUGAGAAAUAUUAUGUUUAUGGUAUAUUUGAUGCUUUAAUGUA